rnacentral:rRNA from 1 species
GCGUAAGCGCGCGCAGGCGGUUUCUUAAGUCUGAUGUGAAAGCCCACGGCCUCUCCGUGGAGGGUCAUUGGAAACUGGGGAACUUGAGUGCACCAGAGAAAAGCGGAAUUCCACGUGUAGCGGUGAAAUGCGUAGAGAUGUGGAGGAACACCAGUGGCGAAGGCGGCUUCCUGCUCUGUAACUGACGCUGAGGCGCGAAAGCGUGGGGAGCAAACAGGAUUAUAUACCCUGGUAGUCCACGCCGCAAACGAUGAGUGCUAAGUGUUAGAGGGAUUCCUCCCU